AAAUGUAAAUUGCUUUAAAAUGCAAAAUCUAUUAAAUAUAUUGGGAAUGAGGAUCAACGCUAGCCUGGAAAUUACAUUUAAUGAAUAUCCACCAUACUUUUAGUAAGAUAAAGCAAGAAUUUGGGAGUGGUGUUCCCCAGAAGGAAUUCAUUUUUUUUACGCGUAAAUAAAGCUCUCACUCUGUUUAUAUGAUUUUUGUAUUUACAUGUAUGUUAACGUGUGCACAGUGUGCCCAAAUCACGUUGUUCAUUACAAACAUAGAGUAAUAUAGUCGGUUUGUUAAUACAGUGGGUUUGUUCUGGCCAACCGAUUAAAGACAGCUAAAAUAUAGUUGCAAGAUCAGAUUUAUAAACUUUUAUAAUACUCGGAAUUACAAAGAAACAUGUUUACAGAUAACACAAGUCCAUUUAUAUAUAUAUUAGACAAAGUAUUGUUUAGGUAGACUGGGACCUGUUUAUCCUACUCUCUGAUAUACAAAGUCAGUAGAAUAAAGAGUCUUUUAAGCAUUUUUAUGAGAUAUUGAAGGUGUUAAAAUUACAUUACAUACAGACAUUGAGGGCACUGCACUCUUCCUAAUAUUAUGGUGUUGGGGGAUAGAAAAGAUGGUAAAUUAGAUGGUGUGAAAAACCAAAAGGUU